rnacentral:lncRNA from 1 species
UCGCCCCCGCGAACUUUUUUUCGCUAUUUGGUGAGCACGCUUCCCGGCCCUCACCGCGGGGGAGCUCGGUGAUUUCGCUCCCCACCUCAGCAGGUCGGGAAGAGCUUCCCUGUCCGCUCUCACGAAGCCUCCUCCUCCCCGUCUCCCUCGCAAAGCCACCGCCUCCUCGUCUCCCUCUCGAAGCCGUCGCCGCCCACUGCCUCGCACUCUCUUGGACUGGAUCUGUCGUCGUCCGGUGAUUUUGCUGAACACGAGCACUUCCUGCUUCCUGGCACCGCGCGCUCGGUAAAACACUAGAGCUUUCUCGCGCAUGGCAGCCUCUUCUUCGUCGCGCAAUCACCGGAUCUCCCUCCUCUUCUUCGCGCAAGGCAACAGAUCUCCCUCCUCUUCGCUGGAGCCUGGGCCCGAGGAUCCUGCAAGCCGGCAGCUGGAGAAAGGCGAGCGACAUGGCGACCUCCACAAUGCGGCUGGUGAAGGACGAGAAAGGUGAGCACCUUAGCCUUGUCACAGAUAUUUUUCUUUUUCAUCGAUUAUUUUUCUUUUUCCAUCAAUCAUCGGUGGCUAGUGACCCGCUGCACCCUCUUUAUUUCUUUUCUGAAGCUGAAAACAUGCAUAUCUGUGAUGCAUAAUAUAUAUAUUAAUUUUUGACUAAACGAUGACACUUGCUUAGUUGGGAGCUAUUUUACAUGUGGAUUCAGUCAUGGCCUUUCACGUUGUGUGUAGCUAGCCUCCUGAAUUCACUUCUUUAGCUAAGAUAUUUCUGUAGAACGGCCACCAAGGCUAGGCUGGUUCAGUAGUCCAUGAUUUUCACAUUGUGUACAACCUCUGACCUCAGUUCUAAAUCUAGUACAAAGAUUUAUUGCAGAACACCAGUAUGCCCGGGACUCUGUUCUGCUAAUGCGUUUGUGCCAUGUGGAGUAUUUGCUUACUCUAUUCUAGCUUUUGUAAUAAAGUAUAUUGGAUGAUGUCCCUAGCAAGUUUACUAUCUAAAGAUGUGGACAGUGUAUUUUCUAUUGCGUUUUAUCUAUUCUUUUGAUAUGAUAUAGCAGUAUGGUAUCCUCUGCCAAAGGACACUUUGUCUGCGUCAGACACUCGAACCAGAGAAUAUGGCCCUUGUCUGCCAAAUGGAAUCAGGGCAGGGCAGCCCCCGACGGGCACUCCCGCCCAGGGAAUCUGGGUGCGAGGGAUUUGUCCCCCUGGGUGCCGACUCUCCUGGGUUUUCCUGCCGCGGCUGCCAAAGGAGCCCUUUGUUUUUUGCUCCCGCGUGGUACUAGCGCCGCUUCAGCAAUCUUUAGGUUUGGGUUCUGCUGUCGACCAUAUUUCGUUUGCAGCAAAUUCCAACAUUGACAAAGCCACACCUCUUCUGCUUUGAAUUCACUAUAUAUACCUUGUAAAUGACAACGUUGUAGAUAAUUGCUUAAGCUUUCUAAAAUAAAACACUAGAACUCCAAAAUCCGAAGAUCUGUGAUGAAAAUACCGGACUGAACAGAACUAAUAGGCAAUAACAGUACGACGUGAAAAAAGGACGCGAUCUCUAGAUACAAAACUCAAACUAGAGUAAGAACCCAAUCUAAACCGGCAAUAAGAUCUUAAAUCUAGGACACAGCCCUAACACAAUGAACAUAGGGUCGGAGUUAGAGUAAAUUCGAGCAGAUGUGCUUUUGUUGGGGAUGCGUAGAUUUUAUUGCUGGCAAAAUCUGAUCAUAAUCAUAGUUCUUGUGUUUUGGGUGGCUGCGACCGUAUCCCCCUGAUGAGGGCAUGUAGAACCCUUAGCCUUCCGUUCGUUUUUUCAAGUACACGAUGCAACUAAAAUACUCUAUGAUACAAUCAUGAGCUUCUAAAUAAUAAAUGCAGUUAAGAUACAAUAUGUAUAAAGAGCCGUGUAGAGACGGUCUCUUUACGAAGAGCCUGUUAUAAAUGAAUGCGAUACAAAGAGGAUCAAUCACAGAGAAGACACGGAUUUAACGUGGAAAACUCCUCUAAAGCGAAGGGGGAAAAACCACGGACGCCGGCCAGCAACUUCUCACUAUUUUCGGGUGGUUACAGAUCGCAGGAGAUUUACAAUUGAGAUAGUUAUCUCCUGCGGCUUACAAAGAUAUUUAUAGAGGUGAAACCCUAAAACGAUUCGUACCGCGGAGCCUUCCAGCGACGGGCCUCCGCUUCGCUCGCCAACUUGGCCGCCUUCUUCAGAAUUUGGAUCACAAACUCAACAGAGCCUUGUCUCUUGACUUUUUUCACUAAACCUGCAUCUCCAACAGUGCCGCAAAAUUAGUGCUCUAUUUUAAAAUAUAGGGCUCAAUCUAUAAAAAUAGCUCCAAUAAUGUCCUAUUUUAAUUUUUUUUAUCAAUAAUACAAGGCACACCAUGAAGUGACCUAAAUAUACUACAUCCAUAUUAGUGCCCUAUACUUGUUUCUAUAUAAUUUUCAACAUUUGUUUUUCUAAUAAUGCAAUUUACUUCCUAAAAUAUAUUAUUUAGAGCUUGACUGCUAGAUCUUAAUUUGUUUGUAGUGCUAUAAACUCCUUAAAUUAUGUAGUAUUUUAAUUUUUGGCCACUAUUUGAGACACAUUGUUGAAGACGCUCUACCCCUCAAUACACCCCCUAAUUAAUAGUGCUAUACAUGCCCUCAUUAUUUGGCGGUGGUGGCGCGAGGGUGGGGUCGACUACGGUGGUGCGAGUGAAGGGGAGGGGCAGUGGGAUCACAUGAGGGGGAGGGAGGGAGGGGUUAUCGUACGUGUGGGUAAUGAGGGAAGAAUGAUGAUUAGAGAUGGCAACGGGUACAAACCCGUUGGGUUUUGCCAUCCUAAAUCCGUACCCGUGAAAAAUAUUUAUACCCAUUAAAAACUCCGUACCCAUGACGGGUUUGAAAUUUUGUCCAAACCCGUACCCAUCGUGUUAGCGGGUACCCACGGGUUACCCGUUGGUUUCAUCUCCAAUAUGCUUGUUAUCGUAAUGAUUAAUGAGAUCAUUGUCCAAAAUUUAUGUGAUGAACAACAAGUUUAUGAUUUGGUAUAAAAAUUAUUAGUAGUGUGAAUGAAAUACAAAUAAUAACAUGUAUAAUCAAGUGACCUUGCACUAAGUUAUUCAUCCACCACAUAUGCUAGUAAAAACUAUAAUAGCAAGCAAGCAAUACUCACACCAACUACUUAUACAUUCACCAUUUGAUAAAACUUAGGAAGUAAAUAGGGAGAUAACAAGUUUGUUGUUCGUUUAUAAAAUAAAAUGACAAUAUGCACUAGGUUUGGUGUCGGGUUUAAAAAGCUCGCGAGUUCACAGGUUUGGGUACUAUAGAAACAAACAUAUAUAAUCAUAUUGCUGUAGAAAUAGUUGGAUUUUGCCUUUGGAUUGCAGGAGAAACAUUGAAAAAUCAUACGAAUAACAUAGGAAACUUCUGUGUGCAAUCAGUUUUAUAGGAAAAACAAAUUGAGAAAAAUCUGAAAAAACGAAGCCACUUCAAGUUCUUUGUUUCUCUUUCGUUGUGUAGGAUGUAGGCAUUUCCUGUGUUUUUUACGUGGCUCAUCCAAACAACAUCUCUACUACUAUUAUAUGAGAUUUUUUCCUUUGGUACGUCGUUCCCCGUCCACGCACGUUUAUCCGACUCCCUGUGAAAAAUCCAAAAAAAUACAUGUUUAUUGGGGUUUAAACAGUGGCGGAUCCAGGAUUAAUCCAAGAGGGGGCUGCUAAGCUAAGGUUAUUAAAAAAAUUAAUCCAAACAAAAAGAAUCUAAUUAAUAUUUAAUAUGACACAACAAGCAAGGCAUAAUUUAAACAUGCAAGAAGUAUGUAGACCAAAAUAAAAUAUGAAUUCUACAAAUACAAUAAUCAAUAAAUAUCGUUCAUAAAUCACAAGUUGAUGUUGCUAGGUAAAUUUAUCUUCCAAGUUUUUAUGCUGAUGUCUAUGAAAAUGUAUGAUCAAAUGGUUGACAUGGGCCCAUUUGUAAAUAAGCUAUUUUAGCAUCAACUUUAAUUUAUGGGGAACUCAUCAAUUGGUUUUCUAAGGUCGGGAUCUGCAACUAUAUCAUUUAUAUUUAGCUCAAUCUGUGGUCUUUUCUAUUCUACACGACUCUCAUUUGUUCCAAUUGUAUUAGAAUUAGAAGCAUAUUUAUUUUUGUUCUUGAUGAGAAAUUUAUCUAUCUUAUCCUACAAACAUAAAAUUUAAUUUUAUUAACUAUCCAACCUAGCAAACAUUGUACCACUAGCAAAUAAAUAAUUAAAUCAAAGUACCAAACAAUAAAAUAGUUUUUUAGCCUUACCGUGCUUACCACUAGUACUGCCAUGGCACAGUACCACUAGCAGAAACCCACUGGUUCAAGGCUUCACGUAAUUAGCCGCUGCUACAAAUCAGGAUGCCAGAAGCUGCUCCAGCGCCCGCCCGCUAUGGCCUGGCCGCGUCCCGGCGUCCGUGUGGCGUGGUCUUCUCGAGAGCUGACCGGCUGUACAUCUACGCAACGCCGGGCGCCCGGGCCGUCCACUAGUGGCCACAGCCGCGACCGCCCCAGCUGGGUCGGGUACGUCGCCGGCGGCUAGGCAGGCGCGACGUGCUCGUCUCGCUGCGCGGAACGGUGGGGUGAGUGAGGGAGCGAGCAAGCGGCGGAGCGCCACGGAGGCCUCAGGGCAGCACCGCGACGGCUGGCGAGCCAAGGGCGGACAGCGGCAGGCCGGUGGCUAGGGCGCAGCACGAGCGAGUGAAGCAUGCUGCCGAGAGAAGAGACUAAGAAGCAGACAAUGGGCUGACCUUGCUCUUUUUUUCCUUAACUAUAUGGGCCUAUAUUUACUGUGUUGCUGGGCCACGACCGGGGCUGCAGCCCGGGCAGCCCCGGGCCUAGAUCCGCCCCUGGGUUUAAAUCCAGGUUGCAAGGAACAUACUAUCGCCUCCUAGCAUUGCACCACUUGUUGAUUUAUGCUACACUAGCAUAUAGUCCGUGUUAACGCUACGAUCCCAGAAGGGGAUCAGAGUGGUUGACGGUGACGGUGGAGCGAGUGAGGGGAGGGGUCGUAUGAGAGGAAGGGAAGAAGAAUGGAUGAUCUAAAUAAUGUCCAUUGAAUUUGAGUGAGUAAGAGAGAGAGAGUUAUCUAGCGAUCUAAACUGUUGGUUUUGAUGACGUGUUAAGUGUGGCCACAAUUUAUUUGGUGGACUUAGUUGAAGUUAUGGGUGUGGGAUGAUUUAAUUGGGUGGGUUUUAAAAAAAUUAAACAUGUGGAUUAUAUAAUGGUAUAUAUAAAGGAUAGGUACUGCAUAUAUAUAUACUCCACGAAAAAUCCAAAAACUUUAUUACUAUUAUGUGAGAGUUUCUUCCUUCGUACGUCCUCUUCCUCCAGACACACUAUCCCUUCAUACAUCAUCUGCCUCCUCACGAAAAAUCCAAAAAAUACAUGCUUAUUGGGUCAUCUCUCAUCUCUACUACUAUUAUGUGCACUAGUACAAAUAAGCUCAAAGCCUGCGGCACGUUCAACUUUUCACUGGCGGUUUCCGUUAUCAAACGUCAGUGAAAGAAACAGGUGGGCCCGACUUUAAAAACCGCCAGUGGAAACCUAUUUCCACUGGCGGUUAUCUUAACACAACCGCCAGUGGAAAUAGGAUGUUUCCACUGGCGGUUGUGUUACACAAACCGCUAGUGAAAAUUGAUUUCCACUGGCGGUUAUCUUAACUUAACCGCCAGUGGAAACAUCCUAUUUCCACUGGCGGUUUUUAAAGACAACCGCCAGUGGAAAUCAAUUUUCACUGGCGGUUUUUAAAGACAACCGCCAGUGAAGUGUCUGUUAUAAAUACCCCUCUUCCCCCGACAGUGAACUGUAUGCUCGCAGCCAACUUCCAUUGGAGGCGAUUUUGGAGGUCCAGAAUUCACAAAAUACAUGGGGAGAGGUUUUGAUCUUCAUUUUUUGGAAGAAGAUUGCUAAGAAAGGUUGGUUUAUGUUGCUAAUGUCAAUUUUUAUUCAUUUUUGCUCAAUUUUAGCCACAUUUUGGAUCUAGGGUUUCACCAUUGGAGAGAGAGUGUAUCCUCUCUCAAUUUUAGCCACAUUUUUGCUCUAUUCGCUCAAAUAAAGUUGUUUAAUAUGGUUAGAUUUUGUCUAUCCUCUCUCCUUUUUCAUGUUUAGUUCUCAAAUCAGUUUAUCCAUGACAUAUUAAGUUGUUUAAUGAAUGGUUCAUGUGUUGUGUGGAGAGAGAAGAAGAUAGGUUUGGUAAUUAAGAUUGUUUUUAUUAGUUGCUAUGAAAGUUGGUUUAAUUAUGUUUUAAUUGCCAAUUAUUGUUCAUCUUUGCUCAAUUUUGGAACUAGGCCUUCACCAUGUGUUAAAGAGAAGAGUAUGGCUAGGAAAGUUUAGUUUUAUGUUCCUCUUGCCAAUUUUUGUUCAUUUUCCUUAAAUUUAGCCACAUUUUGGAUAUAGGGUUUCACCCCUUCAUCCUUCCCGACAGGUGGUGAUGGAGAGGACAUCC